GAUGAACGCUGGCGGCGUGCCUAAUACAUGCAAGUCGAGCGAACGGACGAGAAGCUUGCUUCUCUGAUGUUAGCGGCGGACGGGUGAGUAACACGUGGAUAACCUACCUAUAAGACUGGGAUAACUUCGGGAAACCGGAGCUAAUACCGGAUAAUAUUUUGAACCGCAUGGUUCAAAAGUGAAAGACGGUCUUGCUGUCACUUAUAGAUGGAUCCGCGCUGCAUUAGCUAGUUGGUAAGGUAACGGCUUACCAAGGCAACGAUGCAUAGCCGACCUGAGAGGGUGAUCGGCCACACUGGAACUGAGACACGGUCCAGACUCCUACGGGAGGCAGCAGUAGGGAAUCUUCCGCAAUGGGCGAAAGCCUGACGGAGCAACGCCGCGUGAUUGAUGAAGGUCUUCGGAUCGUAAAACUCUGUUAUUAGGGAAGAACAUAUGUGUAAGUAACUGUGCACAUCUUGACGGUACCUAAUCAGAAAGCCACGGCUAACUACGUG
rnacentral:rRNA from 1 species